rnacentral:rRNA from 1 species
AGCAGCAGCCGCGGUAAUACGUAGGGUGCAAGCGUUAAUCGGAAUUACUGGGCGUAAAGCGUGCGCAGGCGGUUUGUUAAGACAGAUGUGAAAUCCCCGGGCUCAACCUGGGAACUGCAUUUGUGACUGGCAAGCUAGAGUCUGGCAGAGGGGGGUGGAAUUCCGCGUGUAGCAGUGAAAUGCGUAGAUAUGCGGAGGAACACCGAUGGCGAAGGCAGCCCCCUGGGCCAACACUGACGCUCAUGCACGAAAGCGUGGGGAGCAAACAGGAUUAGAUACCCCUGUAGUCCCUGUCUCUUAUAA